rnacentral:misc_RNA from 1 species
GAAAUGCGAUAAGUAAUGUGAAAUGCAGAAUUCAGUGAAUCAUCGAAUCUUUGAACGCACAUUGCGCCCGCCAGCACUCUGGCGGGCAUGCCUGUUCGAGCGUCAUUUCAACCCUCAGAACCCCUUGCGGGAUCUGGCGUUGGUGAUUGGCAUCCAGCCAGCCCCGAAAUCUAGUGGCGGUCCCUCCGCGACCUCCCCUGUGCAGUAGCGAUACCUCGCAGCGGGACAGCGGUCUGACCACGCCGUAAAACCCCCAACUUCUCAAGGUUGACCUCGAAUCAGGUAGGAAUACCCGCUGAACUUAAGC